rnacentral:tRNA from 1 species
ACACUCUUAGCUCAAUGGAGAGAGCGGCCGCUGUCCGGUGGUAGGUUGUAGGUUCGAAUCCUUCAGGGUGUA